rnacentral:lncRNA from 1 species
CUUCAAUAAUGAGCAAUGCAUGCAAUAUUUAUUUGCAAUGAACCUACUAUCAUGCUAGUAUCAUGUCAUGAGUAUAUAAAAGUACAUAGCAAUGCAAUCUACAACAUACACUAUGUCUACUCGAGGUAAUAAUGCAAUUCUACUAUGCCAUUCAUGUUUAUUACCUAAUCGACUUGGCUAACCCGUAGGUUAAACCCUCGACUCACUCUCAAUCUUAUAGGUGAAGAGAAUCUGCACUCGCACACCGAGACCGUCUGCGGGACAACUACGUCUGCCCCUAGUGAAGUACUCCGGAGACUCGUGCUUCGGUGGAGCGACUACCGACAAGCGAAAACAGACUAGUGAGUAUGAUCCAAUCCUCUCAAGAGGAUACCCUGUCUACUAGGGUCAAUGUGCCUCUGCUGCACAGUAUACAAUGCAUCCUAGAUGCCGAGAUCUCUACUAUCCCUAGAACUAUGUCAUGUUUACUACACUAGACUCGAUGCCACUCGUUCGAUCGUUGUAGUAAUGUUCUGUAACUAAUUGACAUGCCACUCGUCCAAUUAAUGUUUCUACUACACUAGUUCAAUGCCACUCUACUAGGCUAUCAUAUGUCCAAGUCCGGCUCUUUAUGCAAUUAUAGGAUUCCAUGUCACAAGACCCAAUCCUCAUGCUACCCUAGUCUAUGUGUUCAACUUACAAGUUACACUACUAAGAAGCAUGCAAGGAAUUAGAAUUGCAACUAUCUACUAAUUCUAUAAUGCAUAAUAUUCAUAUGAUGAAAGAAUUUAACUUAGACAUAAAAAGAAACCCGGUUGCUUCGGGAUGGACACCCCCUACCUCUUGAGGAUAUGGAGGCUCUAGAAAUGCCCUCCAAUGAACGUUACGACGACGUCUCAGCCUCUUUGGUCGAAAUGAAGCUUGGUUGGCCUUGUUUUGCCAAUAUUUUUUCGCCCGCUAGACUAAUCGAAAAUCCGACUUCGCCCUUCCGUUUAGACACGUAACAAAUAGGUUAGAGGUGGGUCAAAUGAGAUCAAUCCUCUACUUCUCCAAAAACCCUAAUUUGGGUGCCCUAGGGUUAGCACUAUGCAAACCUACUUCAAAAACCCUAGAUUCUAGCUCUAAUUCCACCAUUCAUGGUGCUAGAGGUCCAUUUGACCCCAUAUCAAGAGCUAAAACCCGAAAACCCUAAGUUUCAUAAGCUAGGGUUGGAAGCUUACCUCUAUAUUAGCUUCAAAGAGAGAAGAGAGGAAGAGGGAGAGGUCCAAAAGCCUUCUUAGCUUGAUCUCCUUCUUCUUCUCCUUCCUCUUCUUCCUUCUUUUCCUUCUCUUUUCUUCUUCUUCCUUUUCUUUGUUCUUUCCUUUCUAGAGAGAGAGAGAGAGAGAGAAGAGAGUGUGUGAGGGAGGGAGUGGAAUGAGAGCAAGAGAGAGAGAGGUGGUCCCCUAUACUCUCUAUUGUAACAAUAUCCCAACAGCCCCCUCCACUUUUGCCUCUGUGCACUGCCCUCACUGAGCAGAAUUCGCGUGGAGGAACCGGUCUCCCCGACCUGGGACCGAUCCCCGAGAGCGGGAUUUUCAGGACUUAGCCAAAUUUCUGGCUUUCUUGCUGGGUUCGCAUUCGGGGACCGGUCCCUCCCUGCCAGGGACCGGUUGCAUCAAGGAUCCUCGCAACCCCCAGCCUCGGGGACCGGUCUCUCCCUGCCAGGGACCGGUCCCCGAGAGUAACUUUUGCCCAGUGCAGGUUUUGCACUAUUUGCUCUCGUGGACUCGCCUCUAAGGCACUUUUGGUGAUUACAACAUCUUCGGCUUUUCUGAAGCUCACCAACACGACCCUUGGUCGAUUCUAAAUGAAGUCUAACUCUCGUAUUUCAAGAAUUCACUUCCUUACAUCCUCCCCUCCUAAAAAGGAGUUUCAUCCUUGAAACGAAUUCAAUAACUUAAUCAACUCAUACCUUAACACAUUUCUUCGAAGAGAUGAGGAUAAUGCACUUUCAUCGUUUCCUCGAGUUCCCACGUAGCCUCACGAUCACUGUGAUUGGUCCAACAGAUCUUCACGUAGGGAAUUUCAUGAUUUCUCAACUUCCGCACUUCUCGAGCAAUGAUCAUCACCGGGAACUCUUCAUAGCUCAAAUUCUUUUGUAGAUCCGGCGGCUCGUAAUACAUAACAUGCUCGGGAUCGGAAACAUACUUGCGAAGGUUGGAGACGUGGAACACAUUAUGCACGCCCGCGAGCUUCGGCGGUAAUGCUAGUUUGUAUGCUACUGCUCCAACACGUUCCAAUACUUCGAACGGCCCGAUAAAUUAGGGACUUAGCUUUCCCCGCACUCCGAAGCGUUUCACACCUCUCAUCGGCGAAACCUUCAAGAAAACGCGGUCGCCUACAGCGAAUUCCAAAUCUCUACGACAUUUGUCAGAAUAGCUCUUCAGCUGACGAGAUGCAUAAGCUAUCACUCUCUCGUGCUGCAUCAGGACACACCCCAAGCCCAGAUAGGAUGCAUCACUAUAGACCACAAAGUCCUCGCCCUGCAACGGUAAGGCGAGUAUCGGAGCCGACGUCAACCUUUUCUUCAACUCGUUGAAGCUUUGGUCACACUCGUCGCUCCAAAUAAACUUGACGCCCUUCUGUGUCAGACUGGUAAGUGGAGUCACAAUCUUUGAAAAGCCCUCCACAAACCGUCGAUAAUAGCCCGCUAAGCCCACAAAGCUUCGGACCUCCGUGACGUUCGUCGGGCGUGACCAAUUCUCGACCGCUUCGACUUUCCUCGGGUCAACCGAAACACCGCCCUCGGAAAUCACAUGACCUAAGAAGGCAACCUCUCGAAGCCAGAAGUCACAUUUCUUUAGCUUUGCGAAUAGUUUCUCCUCCCGAAGGAUUUGAAGCACUAUCCGCAAAUGCUCCGCGUGCUCCUCGUCGUUUCGCGAAUAGACCAAGAUGUCGUCUAUGAAGACCACGAUAAAUCGGUCCAAGCACGCUUUGAACACAGGGUUCAUUAGAUCCAUGAACGCUGCCGGGGCAUUAGUGAGCCCAAAAGGCAUAACCGUGUACUCAUAGUGUCCAUAAAGCGUACGAAACGCGGUCUUCUGAAUAUCCUCCGNCCGCGUCAUCUUUAACAACAUCUGGGAUGCAAUCUAUGAUAUGGGACAACUCCUGCUCGUAAUCCGCCACCGAACGGUCUCCCUGCCUCAAUCUGCGGAACUUCUCCUUCAACUUCCGCUUCUCGGUGUCGAGAAAGUAAUUUCCAAACAUCUCUCUCUUGAACUCCUCCCAGAGCAUUGGUGGAAGGUCAGAGGGUCGAUCCCGCUUCAACCGCUUCUACCACACCUUCGCCGCCUUGUCGAGGCAAUGGGUGGCGAGGGGCACCUUAUCCUUCUCCGGAGUGUACAAGUCCUCGAAGAGGGUCUCCAUAGAGUCAAUCCAAGACUCCACCACCGACGGCUCCACCUUCCCCCCUUCAAAAGUUGGUGGCUUAAACUUCAAGAACUUCAUUAGGGCCGUUAGCGCACGCUCCUGCUCCACUUCGUCGGCCAUCGUAUCAAGUGUCGCCGAACCCGAAGCUGUCGAAGGUGCACUUGUUGGCGGGGGAACUGCCGCCACCGGAAUCGCCGCUAUGCCCUAACCCUCAACCGCUACCGGCGCGCGUGCCGAAGGUGCGGGUGGAUCGCGAUCUCCUGCCGCUGUCGCGGCCGCCGCCGCUUGCUGCUCCAUGACUUCCUAGAGCUGCUCGAAUCGAGCCUCCUGGCGCUGCAUCGCGCCCAACAUUGCAGCGACCUGCUCCCGCAGCUCCUGCAUCUCCUCCGAUCUUGGCUGCUCAGGCUCCGCAGGAGGCGGUACUCGAGCAGACCUGCGUACGUAGCGUCUUGGGGACAUUUGCUCCUGAAAAGCAACAACUCGAUUAGUUAUCUUAAUCUGAUAACUUUUUAACGUUCGCGAAACUAAAUGACUCGACAAUGAAAUCAGGCGGAAGCUCGCAAGUGCUCUAGUGUUGGACUCUUAGUGUUGCGUCGUCGGCCGCCGACACAACUACUACGAGCCAAGAAACUAGUGUCACUUGGAUCCGUCUCUAUUCACAGCUAGAGACAUAACAUCAACUUCGACCCAAUCGAUCAACUUCCGCCACCGCCAUGGGUUCACGUUCACUCACGUCCCUAUAACCUUAGGGUUUACCAACUUAGGGUCUCCUAGGUCAUCCUAGACUCUCUCUCUUUACUUGCUCUGGUGCUCUGAUACCACUUUAUCUGUCAUGCCCCGAGACCGCUACCAAUUUGGUCCGGCCCCGGACGCGUCGAACAGACGCCGAACGGACAGGACCUCCCCUGUCCGCCCAAGGCUAACCAACAGAUCAUAUAUAAGAAUUUACUCAGGAAUCAAUUCAUAAAUACACGAUCACAAGGAGCACCACCAGUGCUAACAAGACGAGAGCAAGAUACAAGUAUGGAAACAUAUACAAGUACAUAAAGAGAGAAGGUUCUAUCUAUUACAGUUAUUUAACUCAAUACAUAUAAUUCCAUCUUUUACAUUCCUCCAAAACAUAAAUACAAGCACUCAAAUCUCACCCUAUACAUCAUCUACCCUCAAACAUAAAUACAAGGUGGAGCUAAUGCAAAAAGAUAGAUAACUAAUGCAACUAGGGCGCUAGGCCUUUACCGCGAUCCUCACGCUCGCUUAGGACACCGGAACUCGAACCUGUAAAAAGUGGGGUGAGAACUACACGCUCGCUCAGGACACCCGAACUCGAACCUGUAAAAAGUGGGGUGAGAACUAUCUUCCAUAGUUCCCAGUGGGUCCGGCCGCCGACUCCGUCGGUCUCCCCACUAGGUCCAAGUGGGCGCAAGUAGAUAAACAGAUAGAUAGAUAUAGAAAGCUGUAGAAACGGAUAGUAAAACUACUUUACUGUGCCCGAAUCAUGUAUAUGAUGAAUGCAUGCACAAAGAAAUAGAUAGUUCAACUUGCUCUUCAUAUGUCCAAAAGGUAAAGCUAUUUACUGGUUCAUCAAUCUCGUGGCUCACUCAAGGAUCUAUCCAUUACUCACCUAGCCAUCUCGAUCACUACACAUCCGAGACAGUCUACGGGACCCCAAAUAGGCCAUCCCUCGGGACCCCAAAUAGGCCAUCCCUAUCCCACGGGACCCCAAAUAGGCCAUCCCUCGUGACUGACUCCGGAGCGCACUACUUGUGUGGAGCGACCACCACAAGUUGGGAGCAGACAAUGAGUAUGAUCCCAAUUCUCCACCUCAAGAUCCUCUAGGAUUACUGUCACCAUAGUCAAUGGGUUUCAUAUAUGCUACAACUCAUACAUGCCACUCGUUCUUUGUUUAUUAACGACUAGAUGCCACUCGUUCUUUUGUUUAUUAACAACUAGAUGCCACUCGUUCUUUAUUUAUUAACGACUAUUGCAUCGAUCUUUCACCGCUGCACUAUAGGAUUACAAGUCUCGACCCAAUCCUCAUCAUCCUCUAUAUCCAGCAACUAAUGCAUAAUAUGAUAUCAGCUAGGAAACAUAAGGAAAGGCAAAUGCAUAAUUGUCCUACAAUGCACGCGAACACAUGAUGCAAGAUCUCAAAAUACUAAGACAUAAAAGGGAGCCCGAUUGCUUCGGGAUGGACACUACCCACCUCGUGGCGAUGUCGUGACGGUAGAAAACUCGACGCUGCGUUCCUCGCACGUCGCUUCAACUCCUCGGGGCGAAGCGAGCCCUCGAGUACCCGAUUCGGCGAUAACUCCGCGCUCGCUCGUCGGAUCGACGAACCGUCUUCGCCGACGCGUCUAAGGACCUAGCAAUUAGGUUUGGGACCCAUUAAAAUAGAUCAAAACCUGCGAUUUCCAAGAAUCCCAAAUCCAUGCCCUAGAUUAGCAACGGUGAGGAAAUCCGUGGUGCGAGCUUCAAUUGCGAGCCUGAACCAUCGAUUUAUCUCCUCUAGGUUCCAUUCGAACCAUUUCCAAGCCAUAAAACCCUAACCCAAGAAAUUUACCAUGGUAGGGUAGAGGCUUACCUCAACACAAAGCCCCAAGCUUGAGAGAGGGAGAGAAGAAGAUGAUCUUCUUCUUCUUCUUUGCCUUCUCCAUCCUCCUCUUCUUCUUCUUUUCCUUCCUUUUCUUCCUCUCCUUUUCCUUCUCCUUCUUUUCUUUCUAGAGAGGGAGAGAUAGCAAAUGAGAGGGAGAGAGAGGGCCCCAAGCCUUCAUAUAGGCCAUUUUGCAGAUAGCCCCCUCAACUUUUCUCUCUCUGAAACAGCCUUCACUGGGCCAUUUUCACAGUGAGGGACCGGUCCCAGCUCGGGGAGACCGGUCCCCGAGAGCUCUCCAUCUCGGGCAGAAGGAUUUCACGUUCAGGAACCGGUCCUUGCCUGAGAGACCGGUCCCCGGAAGACCGGUCCUUGUCUGAGAGAUCAGUUCCCGAGAGUAGAGUUUUCCGGACUUAGCCAGAUUUUAGCUAUUUUUCGCUCGGCCAACGUUCGGGAACCGGUCCCUGCCUGCCAGGGACUGGUCUCAUCAGAGACCCCCGCAGCCCAGCCUGAUGGGACCGGUCCCUCCCUGCCAGGGACCGGUCUCCGAGAGCAUUUCUGCUCCAGUGCAUGUUUUGCACUGGUGCUCUCGUGGACCUUUCCUUAAUGCACUUUAUGCAUUAUAAUCACUUCGGAUUUUCCGAAGCCUAUACACUCGACAAACAGUCGAUCCCAAAGGAAGUCUAAUCCUCGGAUUUCGAGGAUUCACUUCCUUACAAUCGGUUUCGAAAUCGAAGCGCACCCUCGGCGUCUACAUUGAAAUCGCCGCCGCGUCCACUCUCGAUGUCCCACCGCACCUUUUGGAGAUUAGGGUCCGCGGGUUGCAAACUCUUAAUCCUCUCCAACAAGGUCGGUUGGACAACAAGAGUCAAAAGCAUGGACGGGAUCUCCAGGGCCAUCACUUCGAGAUCCAACCACUCAAUUUCCCUCCAUAGCGGCUCCUGAUGUGUGACCAACAUAGCAAGGUUUUCCACAGAUUUCCUGCUAAGCGCGUCGGCCACCACGUUUGCUUUCCCGGGGUUGUAUAGGAUUGUCACAUCGAAAUCCUUUAGCAAUUCCAACCACCGCCACUGCUGCAUAUUGAGCUCUUUUUGUGUGAAAAUGUAUUUCAGACUUUUGUGGUCCGUGUAUAUCUUGCAACGCGCGCCAUACAAGUAGUGCCUCCAUAAUUUGAGAGCAAACACCACUGUGGCGAGCUCUAAAUUAUGGAUGGGGUAGUUCUUCUCAUAGUUUUUCAACUGACGGGACGUAUAAGCGAUCACCUUCCCGCCCUGCAUCAGAACAAACCCUAAUCCCAACUGUGACACAUCGCUAUACACCACGAAGUCUUCAUCUUGCACCGGUAAAGCGAGCACCAGAGUCGAAGUCAAUCUAUUCUUCAACUCUUGAAAACUCCGGUCGCACUUACCGCUCCACACGAACUUGGUGCCUUUCUGAGUCAGAUGGGUAAGUGGAGUCACGAUUUUCGAGAAUCCCUCCACAAACCGUCUAUAGUAGCCCGCUAAACCCACAAAGCUUAAAAACUUUCGUGACAUUAGUCGGGCGAGGCCAAUCCUUGAUCGCCUCCGCUUUCCUCGGGUCAACAGAUACUCCACCCUCGAAAAUGACAUGCCUAAGAAAUGCAACCUCUCGGAGCCAACAGUCGCAUUUCUUAAACUUAGCAUACAGCUUCUCCUCCCGAAGGACUUGAAGCACGAUUCUCAAAUGCUCGGCAUGUUCCUCGUCGCUACGAGAAUAGACCAAAAUGUCAUCUAUGAAGACCACGACAAAUCCGUCCAAGUACUCCUUGAAGACACGGUUCAUCAGAUCCAUGAACGCUGCCGGGGCGUUAGUGAGCCCAAACGGCAUGACCGUGAAUUUAUAAUGUCCAUACCGCGUACGAAACGCGGUCUUUUAAACAUCCUCCGGCUUGAUCUUAAGUUGAUGAUAACCGGACUGUAGAUCAAUUUUUGAAUAAACCCGAGAUCCUUGCAACUGAUCAAAUAAAUCAUCGAUCUUGGGCAAUGGGUACUUAUUCUUGAUCGUGACCUUAUUCAACUCGCGGUAGUCUACGCAGAGUCGAAACGAUCCAUCAUUCUUUCACACGAAUAGAACAGGGGCUCCCCACGGCGAUACACUCGGCCAUAUAAAUUCCUUAUCAAGGAGAUCCAACAACUGAGCCCGCAACUCUUUCAAUUCUGCCGGUGCCAUCCGAUACAGAGCCUUCGAGAUAGGCGCGGUUCUUGGAACCAAAUCUAUCACGAACUCGAUCUUCCGGUCUGGCGGCAUUCCCGAUAACUCCGCAGAAAAUACGUUUGGAAAUUCCCGAACCACAGACAGUUCCUCGAGCGUAGGAGUCGUCCUCUCGACUUCCACAACAGUUGCCAAGUGGGCUGUGCAACUGCCGUUAACCAACUUCCUCGCUCUCGUCGCCGACACCGUUGCAGCGAAAUACGAGCUUCUACAGGCUCAGUAGGUGAACUCCUCCUGACCCGGCUCUCGAAACGUUAUCACUUUAUUUCUGCAGUGAAUGGUCGCAUAGUACUUCGAGAGCCAAUCCAUUCCUAGAAUGACGUCGAAAUCUUUCAACUUCUUGAGCACCAACAUACGGAUGGACAUUAUCCAGUAGACUAGCCGUACUGGACAAGCCGAACACUCCUUACGGACUAGAAAAUCUCAUCCGGGGCCUGAUACCCUCCAAAUGCUUUUACUAUCUUGUAGCUCCAUGUCGUGCGUGCAUGCAAAUGACCUACUAAUGUAUGAAUGCGUAGCACCUGUAUCAAACAUAGCCUUGGAGCGAACUCUGUUAAUUAAAACCAUACCUGCGAGUAUAUGGCGAUCCUCCGCCUCGGCAGGUUCCAUAGCUUGAGUCUGAGCGGAGAAUACCAGCUUGCUCGGAGCAGAUCUCGUCGCCUCAGGUUGGCGUGGUACCAUCGCACAUCAAGCCAAUGACGCAGCAGGUGGGACUCCUCCAUAAUGCGCCGGAGUCGCCGGAGCCGAUGCGACCGAAGGGGCAGGCGGAGCCCUCACUGGAUAGUAGCAACUGAUAUGGCCCGCCUGUCCACACGUGAAGCACUUCCCCUCUCGCUGAUCACACGUCCUCGGCUCGUGGUUUCCACCGCAGAUCGUGCGCAGCUGCGGUCCGCGGCUCUUAGACUGCGUUCGCGGGUACUUCGGGGGCUUCCUUGACUUUGAUUGAGCUCCCGAACUACUUUGGGCCCGCUUCUUGCCACUGUCUUUCUCGGACGCUUCUCGCUCCUCUCGGAUGUGAGCAUUUCCUUGCUCCGCCCACAACGCUCUGUCGAGCACCUCCGCGAAGGUAGUGAGCUUCAAAAUGUGCACCGUCCGGUAGAUAUCAGCCCGGAGCCCUCGCUCGAACCAAUCGGCUCGAUCCCUGUCAUCCCGUACUACGUCGGGGACGUAGUCAAUGAUGUGAGAGAACUCCCGCUCAUAUUCCGCUAUCAUGCGGCUACCCUGUUUCAACUUCCGAAACUGCUCUUGGAGCUUCUUUUUCUCGCUAUCGGGGAAGUAGGUGACAUAGAACAAUCUCCGGAACUCCUCCCACAUCAACGGCAGAAGGUCGGAAGCCCGGUCACGCUUGACCCGCUUCCACCAAACCUUCGCCGUUCGCUCUAAGCAGUGAGUGGCGAGGGGGACCUUAUCCUUCUCCAAGGUGUAGAGGCCUUCAAAAAAGGUCUCCAUCGAGUCUACCCAUGACUCGACCAUCCACGGCUCGACCUUCUCCCUGUCGAAGGUCAGUGGAUUGAACCUUCGGAACUUCUCGAGAGCCACAAGCGCACGCUCCCUCUCCGCCUCCAAUGCCGUCGCAUCGGGUGUCGUAGAACCCAACGCCGCGAGAGGAACGCUCACCGGCGGAGGACGGGCCGCCACCGGAACUGCUGCAAUGCCCUCGCCCUCAGCCGUCGUAGGUGCACGAGCUGGAGGCGUGGGCGGGUCACGGCCCUCAGUCGCAGCUGCAGUUGCCGCCGCCAAAUGCCGCUCCAUAAGCCUUUGGAGCUGCUCGAAUUGACUCUCCUGGCUCUGCACAAUGCCGGCCAAUGCCGACACCUGCGCCCGUAACUCCUGCACUUCACUAGAUCCGGCUUCCUCAGGCACCUCAGGAGACGGUGCCGGAACGGAUCUACGUACGUAGCGUCUAGGAGACAUCGUUCCUGCAACGCAACAACCGGGUCAGUCACCUAACCCACUUAAUUUCGUCGCAUAUACUGUCUUACGUGACUCGACUCCACCAUAAGCGGACGUACACCAAUGUAUUAGUCCUAACUCUUAGCGUCGUGUUGUCGGCCGCCAACACAAACUCCUCGAGCUCAGAACUGACACUGCUCGGAUUUAUCUCUAGCCACACUAGAGAUCUAUACUCGAUCCGACCUAAUCGGAUUCUUCCUCAACCGAUAUAGGUUCACGUUUCUCUCACGUACUUAUCACCUUAAAGUUGCCAACCUAGGUCUUCUAGGUCCAUCCUAGACUCUCUCUUUACUUGCUCUUAAUUGCUCUGAUACCAACAUUGUCGCGCCCCCCACCCCGAAACCCCUACCAAUUUGGUCCGGUUCGGGCGCGGCGGACGGUUGCCGAACGGACAGGACCUCCCCUGUCCGCCCAAGGCCAACCAACCUGAUCAAGUACAAUUAAGCGCCCAGGAAUUGCUUAAAUAGCAUACAUGAUCAAAUACGAUACACACAAGUGCAAUACAACUAAGAGCAAGAACCACAAGUAAUAUACAAGCGUAUAAAGAGAGAAAUAUCUAGCUAUUACAAUCAUUCAACAGUUACAUCAUUUGGUUACAUUACAUUUUCAUCUUCCAAAAUGUAAAUACAUGUUUUUCCAAAAAUACAUCAUAACUCUCCAAUGCCUAUCCAAAAUAUACAUCUUCUAGUACACGAGGGUACUCUAUAUGCAAAAAGGAAAGCUACUAACUACUCACUUAGGGCGCUAUGCCCUUGCCGCGAUUCUCGCUUGACUCGCCCCUGUGUGUACCUGUCCCCCAAAACCACACGGGGUGAAAACUAUAUAAAUAUAGUUCCUAGUGGGUUUGGCCGCCGACUCCGCCGGUUUUUCCACUAGGUCUAAGCAGGCAUAAACAGAUAGAUAGGUAGAUAAAUGGAUAGAAAAGUAAACAGCAACUAUUCUACCAUGCCUUCAAUAAUGAGCAAUGCAUGCAAUAUUCAUUUGCAAUGAACCUACUAUCAUGCUAGUAUCAUGUCAUGAGUAUAUAAAAGUACAUACCAAUGCAAUCUACGACAUACACUAUGUCUACUCGAGGUAAUAAUGCAAUUCUACUAUGCCAUUCAUGUUUAUUACCCAAUCUACUUGGCUAACCCGUAGGUUAAACCCUCGACUCACUCUUAAUCUCAUAGGUGAGGAGAAUCUGCACUCGCACACCUAGACCGUCUGCGGGACAACUACGUCUGCCCCUAGUGAAGUACUCCGGAGACUCGUGCUUCGGUGGAGCGACCAUCGACAAGCGAAAACAGACUAGUGAGUAUGAUCCAAUCCUCUCAAGAGGAUACCCUAU